GACACCGCCUGCGCUAAAGGAGGAAAGAAUGGGCAACGGUAGGUCAGUAUGCCCCGAAUACCCCGGGCUACACACGGGCUACAAUGGGUGGGAGACAGGGUAUCCACACCGAAAAGGGAAAGAAAUCUCCUAAAACCAUUCUUAAUUCGGAAUGAGGGCUGGAACCCCCCCUCAUGAAACUGGAAUCCGUAAUAAUCGCGUUUCAAAAAAGCGC
rnacentral:rRNA from 1 species